rnacentral:rRNA from 1 species
UACAGAGACUGCAAGCGUUAUUCGGAUUCACUGGGCGUAAAGGGUGCGCAGGCGGCCCAUGUGUGUCAGGUGUGAAAGCCCGAGGCUCAACCUCGGAAUUGCGCCUGAAACUACAUGGCUAGAGUACUGGAGAGGGUAGCGGAAUUCAUGGUGUAGCAGUGAAAUGCGUAGAUAUCAUGAGGAACACCAGAGGCGAAGGCGGCUACCUGGACAGUUACUGACGCUCAGGCACGAAAGCGUGGGGAGCAAAAGGG